rnacentral:lncRNA from 1 species
CUAUAUUUAACAAUCGAUUGUCUUAAGACAGUGUGAUCUGGAAUUUUUUCAAAAUAGCAAAUUAUCGAUUGUCUAUGUUUAACAAUCUAUUGUCGUAAGACAGUGUGAUCUAAAGUUUUUCAAAAUAGUCAACAAUCGAUUGGCUAUAUUUAACAAUCGAUUGUCUUAAGACAGUGUGAUCUGAAGUUUUUCAAAAUAGCAAAUAAUCGAUUGUGUGUGUUUAACAAUCGAUUGUCA